rnacentral:rRNA from 1 species
GCAUAUCAAUAAGCGGAGGAAAAGAAACCAACAGGGAUUGCCCUAGUAACGGCGAGUGAAGCGGCAACAGCUCAAAUUUGAAAUCUGGCGCAAGCCCGAGUUGUAAUUUGCAGAGGAUGUUUCUGGCGACGCGCCUUCCGAGUUCCCUGGAACGGGACGCCAUAGAGGGUGAGAGCCCCGUACGGUUGGAUGCCUAGCCUCUGUGAAACUCCUUCGACGAGUCGAGUAGUUUGGGAAUGCUGCUCUAAAUGGGAGGUAUACGUCUUCUAAAGCUAAAUACCGGCCAGAGACCGAUAGCGCACAAGUAGAGUGAUCGAAAGAUGAAAAGCACUUUGAAAAGAGGGUUAAAAAGUACGUGAAAUUGUUGAAAGGGAAGCGUUCAUGACCAGACUUGGGCAGGUUGAUCAUCCGUGGUUCUCCGCGGUGCACUCUGCCUGCCCAGGCCAGCAUCAGUUCGUCCCGGGGGAUAAAGGCUCUGGGAAUGUGGCUCCUUCGGGAGUGUUAUAGCCCACUGCGUAAUACCCUGGGGUGGACUGAGGUUCGCGCUCUGCAAGGAUGCUGGCGUAA